AACAGGAAGCAGCUUGCUGCUUCGCUGACGAGUGGCGGACGGGUGAGUAAUGUCUGGGAAACUGCCUGAUGGAGGGGGAUAACUACUGGAAACGGUGGCUAAUACCGCAUAACGUCGCAAGACCAAAGAGGGGGACCUUCGGGCCUCUUGCCAUCAGAUGUGCCCAGAUGGGAUUAGCUAGUUGGUGAGGUAACGGCUCACCAAGGCGACGAUCCCUAGCUGGUCUGAGAGGAUGACCAGCCACACUGGAACUGAGACACGGUCCAGACUCCUACGGGAGGCAGCAGUGGGGAAUAUUGCACAAUGGGCGCAAGCCUGAUGCAGCCAUGCCGCGUGUAUGAAGAAGGCCUUCGGGUUGUAAAGUACUUUCAGCGGGGAGG
rnacentral:rRNA from 1 species